rnacentral:misc_RNA from 1 species
UUCCUUUGGUGAAGAACAGCAGUGU